AAACAUCGCUUUCUGAGAAACAUGGGGGGUCGUGCCUUCCCAGUGGGUAUACGAGCCUAAACGGACGCGGUAAAUCGUGCUAAGGUAGCUAAAUUAUGGCCCAUUAAUUGUGGGUCCUGUGAAUGGUUUGACGAGUCCUCGACUGUCUCAAGGUUGUUUUGGUGAACUUGAAUUGAACGUGCAAAUGCUUUCAUGAGAGAGAAAGACGAGAAGACCCCGUGAAGUUAGAAAUUCUUUUUAUAGCGUUAGCCCUCAUUGACUAAGGUUAGUGUGUUGUAAGGUUUGGGUGUAUCCUAUACUUCUUGGUUGGAGGUAUUGGUCGCCUAGUCUUUUAAGUAGAGGGAAUAUAUCUUUGUGUUUUGGCUGGGGCAGCGAAGAGGCAAAACUAGACCUUUUUAGUCAUAUAACGGGUGCGUUACGACCCACAGAGAUUAAUUGUGUGAUUAACAGAAGGAGUUACUCCGGGGAUAACAGCGUAAUCUUCCUUGAUAGUUCUUAUAGAUGGGCGGGUUUGCGACCUCGAUGUUGGCUCCGGGUAUCCUGAGGCUUGCAGGCGGUCUCAAGGGUUGGUUCGUUCGCCCAUUAAAACCUGACGUGAUCU
rnacentral:rRNA from 1 species